UGAAGGGAGCUGAGGGGGCCCUCUCGGCCCACGCAGAACCAUAGAACACUUCACUGGGUGCUGUACCUUGCCUUGGACUUGCUGCCAACAAAAGAAAGAACCAUCUAGCUACCACAUAGCAGUAUCAGCAGAAGGUUCAGACAGUGGUUCUGUUCACGCUGGUGGGCUAUGCCUUUAUAUCUGUCACAGAUACAUGGUUUGGAACAAAAGGGAAGAUGGAAGAAGAAGAAUGGCUGCUAUCCAUUUCUAAAGUCAGGUUAAUGGAGGCAAGGCAUAUCAUCAACAGAAACAUCCUAUGGCAAUGAAUUUCAUAGUUUCAUUGGUCAUUGUAAUCUGGGCAUUUUUCCCGAUGAUUCUUCUCUCUGUUUACUUCAUGGGGGACCAUCUUCUCAUGACCAUAUGCCUGAAAGGAACCACACUUCCAGCACAAAUGAGAGAGAAGAAAAUCUAAGUCUUUCGCAAGUUGAUCCGCCUCCUACAAACCAAGAGAAUAGGUUAAUUCCAGACUUUGGACUCACAGCUUCCUGACUCCUAAAUUGAUUUUUAGAACAAACAUUCAUUUCCUGUAUCAUGAGGUGAAAUUGCUACAUAAGUCAUGAUAGCGGAAGCAUGGCAUAACGGCUAAUUCUGAGUAGCUGUGACAUAGGAAACUAUUGGUUCAGAGCUCACCUCUGGUGUCAGCUCAUAGGUGUGUGGCCUUAGGCAAGGCACUAUGCUUCAGUCUUCCAGUUGCAAUGGGCAGAUAAUAAUACUGACCAACUUUACAGGAUUAUUGUAAAGAUUUUGAAUAAUGUAUGCAUAGAGUUUUGAAAAGACAUUAGUAAUGUAUUUGUAGCCUCUUCCAAAAGCAAAUGAGGUCUCCCACUGAAACCCCUUUGAACAUGGCUUUGAUGGCUUCAUUUGGUAAAUUUUGGCAAGUGUAUUUAGAAUAUAUAUAUGAGCCAUUUUAUUUCUCAUACUUUUCUGGGUAGGCCCGAAGUAAAGACCGGAGCAGCUAAUGUGAGCAAAAGAUGGGUGAAACCCAAUGUAGCAUGAGCAGGCAUCCUUCCUCCCUCCCUGACCAGUCUACCUCCCUGGGUAAAUAAACUCUGGAAGAAUUAAAGAACUACCCUCCUUCUAUUUCUUAGCAUUCUUAAUCAUCAGCAUAUACAAUUUUAAGAUGUCUUGGAAUGUUCUCAAAAUCACAUUGUAAGGCUGUAACGCUAAACACACUUACUAGUCAGGGAUAAGCCCAAGUGAUACAACAGAAUUUACUUCUGAGUAAACAUGCAACUACUGUACUGCACUGUAACAUUAUAAUCCUAUCCAUGUUUACUUGGAAGUAAGUUACCCUGUGUUCAAUGGGGCCUGAUCUCUAGCAAAUGGUGGGUUUAGGAUUGCAGCAUUAAACACCUAAAUUGGCAUGGUACAUAAUAUGAAAAUAGGAACAUAUAGCAAGCUGCCUUAGGUUGAGUCUGGUAAUUGCUCCAUCUGGCAUGGUAUCACUGACACUUACUGCCAGCAGCUGUAUAGGAUUUUA